GCCUUCGUGGUGUAGUGGUUAGCACGCUGGCUAUUCCAGAGGUCCGUGGUUCGAGUCCCGGCGAAGGCG
rnacentral:tRNA from 1 species